GCGUUAAUCGGAAUUACUGGGCGUAAAGCGUGCGCAGGCGGUUUUGUAAGUCAGAUGUGAAAUCCCCGGGCUCAACCUGGGAACUGCAUUUGAGACUGCAAGGCUAGAGUGUAGCAGAGGGGGGUAGAAUUCCACGUGUAGCAGUGAAAUGCGUAGAGAUGUGGAGGAAUACCGAUGGCGAAGGCAGCCCCCUGGGCUACUACUGACGCUCAUGCACGAAAGCGUG
rnacentral:rRNA from 1 species